rnacentral:rRNA from 1 species
GUUUGAUCCUGGCUCAGGAUGAACGCUAGCGGCAGGCUUAACACAUGCAAGUCGAGGGGUAUAGUUCUUCGGAAUUAGAGACCGGCGCACGGGUGCGUAACGCGUAUGCAAUCUACCUUUCACAGAGGGAUAGCCCAGAGAAAUUUGGAUUAAUACCUCAUAGUAUAGUACAAUCGCAUGAUUGAACUAUUAAAGUCACAACGGUGAAAGAUGAGCAUGCGUCCCAUUAGCUAGUUGGUAAGGUAACGGCUUACCAAGGCUACGAUGGGUAGGGGUCCUGAGAGGGAGAUCCCCCACACUGGUACUGAGACACGGACCAGACUCCUACGGGAGGCAGCAGUGAGGAAUAUUGGACAAUGGGCGCAAGCCUGAUCCAGCCAUGCCGCGUGCAGGAUGACGGUCCUAUGGAUUGUAAACUGCUUUUGCACAGGAAGAAACAACGCUACGUGUAGCGUCUUGACGGUACUGUGAGAAUAAGGAUCGGCUAACUCCGUGCCAGCAGCCGCGGUAAUACGGAGGAUCCAAGCGUUAUCCGGAAUCAUUGGGUUUAAAGGGUCCGUAGGCGGUUUAGUAAGUCAGUGGUGGAAGCCCAUCGCUCAACGGUGGAACGGCCAUUGAUACUGCUAGACUUGAAUUAUUAGGAAGUAACUAGAAUAUGUAGUGUAGCGGUGAAAUGCUUAGAGAUUACAUGGAAUACCAAUUGCGAAGGCAGGUUACUACUAAUGGAUUGACGCUGAUGGACGAAAGCGUGGGUAGCGAACAGGAUUAGAUACCCUGGUAGUCCACGCCGUAAACGAUGGAUACUAGCUGUUGGGAGCGAUCUCAGUGGCUAAGCGAAAGUGAUAAGUAUCCCACCUGGGGAGUACGUUCGCAAGAAUGAAACUCAAAGGAAUUGACG